GACGAACGCUGGCGGCGUGCUUAACACAUGCAAGUCGAACGGACAGGCGCUGCUUUUGUGGGUUUCUCGAGUGCCGAACGCGUGAGUAUCACGUGUGUAAACUGUCCUUGUCUUUCGGAUAACUUCAGGGAACUGGGGCGAAUACCGGAUAUGAGCUCCUGCUGCGUGGGGGGCAUUGGAAAGAUUCGGCGGUUGGGGAUGGACUCGCGGCUUCUGCGCUUCUUGGUGUGGUAGUGGCUUACCAAGGCUUUGACGGGUAGCCUGCCUGAGAGGGUGACCGGCCACAUUGGGACUGAGAUACGGCCCAGACUCCUACGGGAGGCAGCAGUGGGGAAUAUUGCACAAUGGGCGGAAGCCUGAGGCAGCAACGCCGCGUGCGGGAUAACGGCCUUCGGGGUGUAAACCGCUUUCUCCUGUGACGAAGCGUGAGUGACGGUAAUGAGUAAAGAAGCACCGGCUAACUACGUG
rnacentral:rRNA from 1 species